GGCUACUGAAUUGCCAUUUUAUGUAUACAAUAUUUCUUAGUUAUGGCUGUGACACUUACCAUUUUACCCUCAAUGCAAUAAUUUGGUAUCAUCACUCUGUUCCAUUUUCUACAGCUCACCAUCCAGCAGCUCCAUCAAGAAGACUAGCAUCUGCAUCAAAUAUCCUAGGCUACAACUCUUUCCCCAUCAUUUUGACCCUAUCAUCCCUCUUGUGAAUAGUUGUUUGUCUUGGAAGUCCUUCCCAGUCGAUGUAUCAUUGCACUCUUUCUGAAAUUAUAGAAAUUCAUUCAUAUCGCUCCCCAUCUUCAGCAUUUGCAGUGGUGAUCAGUGGGUUAGCACUUAGGUUGGAUGUUGCACAUGGUUCGCCAUAAUACAUUCCAUGAAACUUGUGCAUGUUGGUUUUGAUAGGACUAUUUGUGUGGGAAAUCCAUUAGUCUUCCUAGCUAUUAUCUUCAUGUGGC
rnacentral:lncRNA from 1 species